GCCGGGCGUGGUGGCGCACGCUUGUAAUCCCAGCUACUCGGGAGGCUGAGUCAGAAGAAUCGCUUGAACCCGGGAGGCAGAGGUUGCAGUGAGCCAAGAUCGCGCCACUGCACUCCAGCCUGGGCAACAGAAUGAGACUCUGUCUCAA
rfam:Homo sapiens chromosome X, GRCh38 reference primary assembly.